UGGAUCAGGAUCAUCUGGAUCAGGAUCAUCUGGAUCAAGAUCACCUGAUCAGGAUCAUCUGGAUCAGGACCACCAGGAUCAGGAUCACCUGUCAUUACUACUCUCAUGUAUUCAAUCCCAGCGACAGAUCCACUUGGAUCAUCAGGAGAUGUGGUGUGAAAACCACGGUACAAGCAGCUGUGGCUGCAGGACGCCACACCGAGGACCUGGUGUCAGGCGGUUACAGAAAAGGAAGAAACCCCCACCUGAGUUCAGUCCAGUGAGAUAAAUAGAACAAUCUCCAUUGAACCAUCAAGCUCAGGUCUUUAAAAGAUGAAAUUCCUGCAGCUUCAUUUCUGCAUUAGAGCCCAGACGGAACACAGUGAAGCAGGUUGUGGGUUGAAGUCCCUCAGAAGUCUUCAUCGUGUGAGCUUAUAGAUGUCAUAUCGAACCCUUUGGCCUGAUUAAAUGUCAGUCUAAAGCUGAAAUGGUUCAGAAUCCCGCCGAUACAUUUCCUUCUGUUGUUGUCAUGAUUGUCAAUAAAGUUUUUGACAAUG